rnacentral:rRNA from 1 species
AUUGAACGCUGGCGGCAGGCCUAACACAUGCAAGUCGAACGGUAACAGGAAGAAGCUUGCUUCUUUGCUGACGAGUGGCGGACGGGUGAGUAAUGUCUGGGAAACUGCCUGAUGGAGGGGGAUAACUACUGGAAACGGUAGCUAAUACCGCAUAACGUCGCAAGCCCAAAGAGGGGGACCUUCGGGCCUCUUGCCAUCGGAUGUGCCCAGAUGGGAUUCGCUAGUAGGUGGGGUAACGGCCCACCUAGGCGACGAUCCCUAGCUGGUGUGAGAGGAUGACCAGCCACACUGGAACUGAGACACGGUCCAGACUCCUGCGGGAGGCAGCAGUGGGGAAUAUUGCACAAAGGGCGCAAGCCUGAUGCAGCCAUGCCGCGUGUAUGAAGAAGGCCUUCGGGUUGUAAAGUACUUUCAGCGGGGAGGAAGGGGGUAAAGUUAAUACCUUGGCUCAUUGACGUUACCCGCAGAAGAAGCACCGGCUAACUCCGUG